UGAGGAACAUGACCUUCGGCGGGGGAGUAGCCGGCCCAACGGCCGGGUAAUACCGCGUACGACCACAUGGGGACAUCCCUGAGUGGUGAAAGCAGCAAUGCGCCGAUGGAGUGCCUCGCGGCCUAUCAGCUAGUUGGUGAGGUAACGGCUCACCAAGGCGACGACGGGUAGCUGGUCUGAGAGGAUGGCCAGCCACAGUUGGGACUGAGACACGGCCCAGACCUCUACGGGGAGG
rnacentral:rRNA from 1 species